CAGGGAGACAACAAAAUGUUAAAUAUUAAUUUUGUCACCUUAGGUCGAUCGGUAUCUCACAUUCUUAACUUAUUAAGAAUUUUAUUUCCUAAGUUUUUUCUAGGUCACACCCAUUACUUUUCCUGGGCCAUUAGCUCAGGUGGUUAGAGCGCACCCCUGAUAAGGGUGAGGUCCCUGGUUCAAGUCCAGGAUGGCCCAUAUCUCUAUGUUGGGGGUAUAGCUCAGUUGGUAGAGCGCCUGCUUUGCAAGCAGGAUGUCAGCGGUUCGAGUCCGCUUACCUCCACUGAUUCCCACCUCUUCCAUAACCGGUAGAAAGGAAAUGUUUUGAGUUGUGAUCAUUAUUCUGAACGAAUCUAGCUUCCUAAUAAAAUCAUUAAGAUGCUGGACUCAUUGAAUUAUUUUCAUUGUUUUCAGAGAACCUUGACAACUGCAUAGAUUAUUUUAAAGACAAUAAGCAUCUUUAAUGAUGCAGAUUUAUUAUUUGUGCGAAUGCAUUAAUAACAAUUCUAUUAAGCUGAUGCUUCA
rnacentral:tRNA from 1 species